CUUACAUUCAGUGGCGAGGUUAACCGAAUAGGGUAGCCGUAGAGAAAUCGAGUCCGAAUAGGGCGAAUUAGUCGCUGGGUGUAGACCCGAAACCAGGUGAUCUAUCCAUGGCCAGGAUGAAGGUACCGUAACAGGUGCUGGAGGUCCGAACCGACUAGUGUUGCAAAACUAGCGGAUGAGCUGUGGAUAGGGGUGAAAGGCUAAACAAACCUGGAGAUAGCUGGUUCUCUCCGAAAACUAUUUAGGUAGUGCCUCAAGUAUUACCUUCGGGGGUAGAGCACUGUUUAGGCUAGGGGGUCAUGGCGACUUACCAAACCUAUGCAAACUCCGAAUACCGAAGAGUACAGCUUGGGAGACAGAGCACCGGGUGCUAACGUCCGGACUCAAGAGGGAAACAACCCAGACCGCCAGCUAAGGUCCCUAAAAUUGGCUAAGUGGGAAACGAAGUGGGAAGGCUAAAACAGUCAGGAUGUUGGCUUAGAAGCAGCCAUCAUUUAAAGAAAGCGUAAUAGCUCACUGAUCGAGUCGUCCUGCGCGGAAGAUGUAACGGGGCUAAGCCAGUUACCGAAGCUGCGGAUGCACAGUUUACUGUGCGUGGUAGGAGAGCGUUCUGUACGCCUGUGAAGGUGGGUCGUGAGGCCUGCUGGAGGUAUCAGAAGUGCGAAUGCUGACAUGAGUAGCGUUAAAGGGGGUGAAAAGCCCCCUCGCCGAAAGCGCAAGGUUUCCUACGCAACGUUCAUCGGCGUAGGGUGAGUCGGCCCCUAAGGCGAGGCAGAGAUGCGUAGCUGAUGGGAAACAGGUCAAUAUUCCUGUACCGAUCAAUAGUGCGAUGUGGGGACGGAGAAGGUUAGCUCAGCCGGGUGUUGGAUGUCCCGGUUCAAGCCUGUAGUCGUGCCUGGUAGGCAAAUCCGCCGGGCUUAGAUGAGGGGUGAUAACGAGUCUGCUUGCAGACGAAGUGAGUGAUACCCUGCUUCCAGGAAAAGCCACUAAGCUUCAGCUAUUGACGACCGUACCGCAAACCGACACUGGUGCGCGAGAUGAGUAUUCUAAGGCGCUUGAGAGAACUCUGGAGAAGGAACUCGGCAAAUUGACACCGUAACUUCGGAAGAAGGUGUGCCUUUAGUAGGUGAUCCAUUUACUUGGUUAGCCCAAUGAGGCCGCAGAGAAUCGGUGGCUGCAACUGUUUAUUAAAAACACAGCACUCUGCAAAGACGAAAGUCGACGUAUAGGGUGUGACUCCUGCCCGGUGCUGGAAGAUUAAAUGAUGGGGUGCAAGCUCUUGACUGAAGUCCCAGUAAACGGCGGCCGUAACUAUAACGGUCCUAAGGUAGCGAAAUUCCUUGUCGGGUAAGUUCCGACCUGCACGAAUGGAGUAAUGAUGGCCACACUGUCUCCUCCAGAGACUCAGCGAAGUUGAAAUGUUUGUGAUGAUGCAAUCUCCCCGCGGAAAGACGGAAAGACCCCAUGAACCUUUACUGUAGCUUUACAUUGGACUUUGAACAGAUCUGUGUAGGAUAGGUGGGAGGCUUUGAAACCUGGUCGCUAGAUCAGGUGGAGCCAACGUUGAAAUACCACCCUGGUGUGUUUGAGGUUCUAACCUUGGCCCGUUAUCCGGGUUGGGGACAGUGUAUGGUGGGCAGUUUGACUGGGGCGGUCUCCUCCCAAAGUGUAACGGAGGAGUUCGAAGGUACGCUAAAUACGGUCGGAAAUCGUGUUGAUAGUGCAUUGGCAUAAGCGUGCUUGACUGCGAGACUGACAAGUCGAGCAGGUACGAAAGUAGGACAAAGUGAUCCGGUGGUUCUGUAUGGAAGGGCCAUCGCUCAACGGAUAAAAGGUACUCUGGGGAUAACAGGCUGAUACCGCCCAAGAGUUCAUAUCGACGGCGGUGUUUGGCACCUCGAUGUCGGCUCAUCUCAUCCUGGGGCUGUAGCCGGUCCCAAGGGUAUGGCUGUUCGCCAUUUAAAGAGGUACGUGAGCUGGGUUUAAAACGUCGUGAGACAGUUUGGUCCCUAUCUUCCGUGGGCGCUGCAAGAUUGAGAGAGCCUGCUCCUAGUACGAGAGGACCGGAGUGGACGCACCUCUGGUGUAUCGGUUGUCACGCCAGUGGCAUCGCCGAGUAGCUAAGUGCGGAAGAGAUAACCGCUGAAAGCAUCUAAGCGGGAAACUCGUCUCAAGAUGAGUCUUGCCGGGGCCUAGAGCCCCCUGAAGGGUCGUUCAAGACCAGGACGUUGAUAGGCUGGGUGUGGAAGCGCAGUAAUGCGUUAAGCUAACCAGUACUAAUUGCCCGUGAGGCUUGACCCU
rnacentral:rRNA from 1 species